AGUUCCUUUGCAUGUGGCUAUAUAUUUCCAGACCUCUCAGAUCAGCCAUGGAGCCCCUAGUCAGCUGGUGGAGGCCGUGAAGGGGUCCGCGUUAAGCGCUAUACCCCCAUCUGUUCUACGACAAUGGAAUUAAAUGGUUUCUAAAGGGAGCUUAGUUCUUCUGGAAACAGGUUUGUGGAAAAUCAGCUGAUAAAAGCAGCUUAAUAGAAGAAAAGCAUACACAAUUAUUCGAUCAUAGUUUUAUGUGACACAGGAGCCUUCAGAAUGGGGACCCAAAGAGACAGUGAUGGGAUCUUGCUAUGUUGCCCAGGCUGGCUUUGAACUCCUGGGCUCAAGGGAUCCUCCUGCUUCAGCCUCCCAAGUAGUGGAAGCACAGGCAUGCACCGCUAGGCCUGGCUACAAUGUCUGACAUUUGGAAGGAAGAUAUUAAGACUCAGAAAAUGGUCAAAGUGUCAACUGCUGAAAAAUGUCCAAAUAGGUUGAUGCAAAGGACAUUGGAUUUAACUACAAGGUGGACUUGGUGACUUCUGAUAGCAGAAUUUGAAUGAAAAGACUAGGAGAGUCUGUGUAGAUACCCAAAUUGAAGGGAUAGUGACCGUAAUAAUUGCCUACAAGAUAAUAGUGCUGAUAAACAUUUCAAAUAGUAUAAUUUAAUGCUUACCUGUACUUUCUGAAAUUUUUAGCAAUAAUUCAAACAUUGUGUUUGUGUCCUGCAUAAAAUUCCGGUUUACCCAACACACACACACACACACACACACACACACACACACACACACACAAAUGUAACAUCUAAUACCAUUCUAUUUUAUUCUUAUGUGGUUAUGGUGUUAAUUUCAGAAGGCUUAUUUGGUAAAAUGUUCUCAGCUACUUACAGAACCAAUUGCAUCUACAGAUAUUUUAUAAUAAUGCAUUAUGCAACAUAUUUUAUUUUUAUUUCACCUCAUUUAACCAGUGAAGGUGAUUUGUCAAAUGUAUCCAUUUCCAAAAUUAUUUGUCUAUCCAAGACACCCUGCAGACUGAGCAUUUGACACGAGAUGCCCUUGAUAUGAGUUCAGACUAUAGAGGUCACCCCCAGGGCCUGCAGUGAGAGCUAGCUCUUCAGUCCUUGAGGUGAAACCUGAUCAGAGUGAAGAUCACUUUAAAAAUCAGUUAUCCCAAGGGAAAGAUUUCCCCACAUAAUUCUAAAACAUUUCUUUAUGCCCCAUCAGGAUUUAAAUGCUGUAGUUUAUGAGCUGUAUUUCCAGGUAAUAACAAACAAGCCGCCAACUCGGAAUUUAUUUGAACUGGCUCUUGCUGCAUACUGAUAAUUAGUGCUCACAAGUGAUCCUGGGACCACGCAGAAGAUGGCAGUACCUUCUGAAGCAUCAAAGAAAGAUAUCCAGUAGAGUUAUAGUCUUGCAGGGACCUCAGUGCACACUGAUUCUUUGAUAAUGAAUAGUUUGGGUUACUCUGCUAAUUGCAUACACUAUUCCUUAGCCACGUCUACAUAAAAUAAUGUACAAAUAUGUACUCGUGAACAUUCCUUAAAGUUGCCUAAUAGCGCUUAAGAACUGCAAUGUCUCUGAUUUUUCUUUCUUUUAUUGGAUAUCUGUGGGAACAUUGCUAUGAGAGCCUGGGAGGAAAGAGCCAGCAUUAUAAUUACAGGAAAGCAGAGGGUUUUGUAUUUUUAUACUAUCAUAUCCAAAGAAUUUGUUUUGUUUUUAAGGUAAGGAAAAAAGAGAGGGGACAUUCUCUGUUCUUUAACAUAAAUUUACGUCUCCAAUAGCCCUUCUGUCUUGCACCUCUCUAAAAUGAAGGCACUGUGUUUUCAUCCGCAGAUAUGCCCAGAACUCAGGAGAUUUCCACCUGCUCUGUCAAUAAUACUAGGUCUGUGUGCUCAGUGAUGCCAGACUGGCUGCCUAUGUCUUCAUUAGUUUAAUUUAUUCUUCCUUAGAAUGGAACAAAUACCAAUAAUCUCUGAAUUCAUCGGGACAACAUUGAACAAAAUUAAUUAAGUAGCCAUUUUAGAUAUAUUCAUAAAGAUUGAGAAGGGAUAGAAAAACAAUUUUUUUUUGGUGAAGGAGAGAGAUGAAGGAGAUUAUUGAAGGGCUACUGCAUUUAGGAAGUACAGAAGUACAGCAUGCAAUGAGCUACGUGGAGGGAAAAAGGGGCUAUUUUUAUUUUCAUUGUUUUGAUUUUUAGUGUAAGAAUGAAAUGUGCCAGUGAAGUAAAAAAUCAUAGUUGCCA
rnacentral:lncRNA from 1 species